rnacentral:tRNA from 1 species
AUAACAUAGGUAAGCGACCUUCCGGUUGAUUGUUUACGGCCUUUCACGCCGUUAACAGGGGUUCAAAUCCCCUUGGGGACGCCA